GCUGAAAUAGCUCAGUUGGUUAGAGCUCUGUGCUGAUAACGCCAAGGUGGCAGGUUUGAUCCCCAUAUGGAGACAGCU